AUGUGUCUCUUCAUCUCCCUCACAAAGUGCGACGACUUCGUCUCAAUUGUCUCUAUCUUCUUCACUUCUCAGCCUUCGUCUUACUCUAAAUUUCUCCAUCCGAUUUAUAGAAGAAAAAAAGACGGAAUCGAUUCAAGAGAGAAGAAGAGAGGAUGUGAAAUCUUGUGCAAUGAAGAUACAUGUGAAAUAAAAUAUUUGCGGUGUUAA